AGGGUCAGGUGGCCCUGGCGCCACUGGCUGCUGUAGGCAUGGAGAAGGCCCCGGGCCCCAGAAUGUUCGAGCUGGAUGGGGCCUUGGGCAUUAUCCUCCCCAGAGUGGACCAGGGAGGGCAGGGACUUGCCUAGGGCACAUAGCAGGAGGGCCUGACCCUCUGGCAGUGCUGUCCCCUGCACUCAGUGGGAGGGCUGGCCAGACUCCCUUUGUCUGUAGCAGGCUGUGCUGCUUGACCCACGCUUGGAUCCUGUGUCUGGCCGAUGGUGGCCCUGGAAGGUCCUCUCCAGAAGCACCUGGGUCUGCCUCCAAGACCCAAGCUCGUUCCACUAUCCAACCAACCCUGAUAGCGAUCCAAGAUGGAACCAGCUUCCUUAGGAGGUAAAGAGCCACCCGUCUCUGGAGUCAUUCAAGCAAAAGUUGAACAACUCCUUUCUGCGGUGCUUCACAGGAUCCCAGCAUCCCUCACGGAGGGGGCAGACCUGAUGCUCUGAGCUGACACAGGAUGGCAGGCAGGCAGAUGCUGACUGCUGAGUCAUGGAUGGGAUGGGAGAGAAGCUGUGCGCCAGCCAGAGCAGCCGGGCUCAGAGCUUCCGGUGGACUCAGACAGGGAAGCAAGGGUGUCAUCAAGAAGGUCUGCUCCUCUCGGUUGCCCUCGCAGCCCUCUGCCUCCAGAAGGAAGUUCCUCUUACCAGGUCCUGCUGAGAUGCUAAGAAUUGCUGGUGACAAUAUUUCAGCACAGCGGCGGGGCCUAGUGCUCCAGAUUCAGACGGAUCUGGGUCCCAGUCCCCGCGCUGCCACGCACCAGUUUGAGACCUUGAGCAAAAUACUUCGCCUGUCCAAGCCUAGUUCUUUCGCCAAUAAAAUGGGCUGAUAAUUCCUACCUUGGGAUUAUUGAUAGGGGAAGAUGUCCACAGCACAUUAAGUUAAAAAGGCAAAUAUGGGGCCUCCCUGGUGGCACAGUGGUUAAGAAUCCGCCUGCCAAUGCAGGGGACACGGGUUCGAGCCCUGGUCCGGGAAGAUCCCAUAUGCCGCGGAGCAACUAAGCCCGUGCGCCACAACUACUGAGACUGCGCUCUAGAGCCCGCGAGCCACAACAACUGAGCCCGCGUGCCACAACCACUGAAGCCCAUGCACCUAGAGCCUGUGCUCCGCAACAAGAGAAGCCACCACAAUGAGAAGCCCGUGCACUGCAAUGAAGAGUAGACCCCGCUCGCCGCAACUAGAGAAAGCCCACGUGCAGCAACGAAGACCCAACACAGCCAAAAAUAAAUAAGUUAAUUAAAAAGAAAAAAAAAAGGCAAAUAUGUUCCCAUGUUUGUUAAAAACAAAAAACCUACAUUUAUAUGUUUGCAUGCACAGAAAAGUUUGGAAGGAAACACCCAAACAGGUAGCAGAGAGACAUUUGAAGGGGGAGAGGUGGACGAUUUUUAUCUCAAACUCUAUACACUCCUAAAUUUUUGAAAAAGUUUAAACCAAUAAGCAUGUAUUAACUGUGUAACAAAUAAAGUGAAAUUUUAAAAGUC